rnacentral:lncRNA from 13 species
UCCAAAGGGGGUGAAGAGCAGCUGUCAAACUGGGUUGGUUUGGAAGAACAGUCUACUGCACAGACGCACCAGAGCCGCGCUCGCGAGUUGCGGAGUCCUCUUUCAGCAUGAGAAAUUCGGCGAAUUGGACUGCUCAUCCUUUCGCUCUCUGGGACGAAAUCAAAUCCUUUAUUUGGGAAUGGCGGGAAUGGUGCAGAUUCCAUAAUGGAAUGAUGAUCAUGCUGAAAGCAGCUUCUCCCUGACCGCUGCUACUCAAGCCCUUCUGUGAGGUACUAUCCCUGACAGCCGUGGUCUGGAGGAUCUGAUUGAGAGCGUCUGUCCCCGUGCGGGUCCUGGU